UACGAAAGGGGCAAGCGUUGUUCGGAUUUACUGGGCGUAAAGGGCACGCAGGCGGUCUUGCCAGUCAGGGGUGAAAGCCCGGGGCUCAACCCCGGAACUGCCUCUGAUACUGCAAGACUAGAGACUAGGAGAGGGUGGUGGAAUUCCCAGUGUAGAGGUGAAAUUCGUAGAUAUCGGGAGGAACACCAGUGGCGAAGGCGGCCUUCUGGCCUUAACCUGACGCUGAGGAGCGAAAGCUAGGGGAGCAAACGGG
rnacentral:rRNA from 1 species